rnacentral:rRNA from 1 species
AACGCUGGCGGCAGGCUUAACACAUGCAAGUCGAGCGGGGGAAGGUAGCUUGCUACCGGACCUAGCGGCGGACGGGUGAGUAAUGCUUAGGAAUCUGCCUAUUAGUGGGGGACAACAUCUCGAAAGGGAUGCUAAUACCGCAUACGUCCUACGGGAGAAAGCAGGGGAUCUUCGGACCUUGCGCUAAUAGAUGAGCCUAAGUCGGAUUAGCUAGUUGGUGGGGUAAAGGCCUACCAAGGCGACGAUCUGUAGCGGGUCUGAGAGGAUGAUCCGCCACACUGGGACUGAGACACGGCCCAGACUCCUACGGGAGGCAGCAGUGGGGAAUAUUGGACAAUGGGGGGAACCCUGAUCCAGCCAUGCCGCGUGUGUGAAGAAGGCCUUAUGGUUGUAAAGCACUUUAAGCGAGGAGGAGGCUACUUUAGUUAAUACCUAGAGAUAGUGGACGUUACUCGCAGAAUAAGCACCGGCUAACUCUGUGCCAGCAGCCGCGGUAAUACAGAGGGUGCGA